rnacentral:rRNA from 1 species
GCCUACGGCCAUACCACCCUGAAAGCGCCUGAUCUCGGAAGCUAAGGAGGGACGGGCUUGGUUAGUACCUGGAUGGGAGACCGCCUGGGAAUACCAGGUGUUGUAGGCU